AGAGUUUGAUCCUGGCUCAGAAUCAACGCUGGCGGCGUGCCUAACACAUGCAAGUCGAACGAGAAAGUCCGCAAGGAUGAGUACAGUGGCGACCGGGUGAGUAACACGUGACUAACCUACCUCUUAGUGGGGAAUAACUCCGGGAAACCGGAGCUAAUACCGCAUAACAUCGCAAGAUCAAAGCCGAAAGGCGCUGGGAGAGGGGGUCGCGGCUGAUUAGCUAGUUGGUAGGGUAACGGCCUACCAAGGCGAUGAUCGGUAGCCGGCCUGAGAGGGCACACGGCCACACUGGCACUGAAACACGGGCCAGACUCCUACGGGAGGCAGCAGUGGGGAAUCUUGCACAAUGGGGGCAACCCUGAUGCAGCGACGCCGCGUGAGCGAUGAAGCCCUUCGGGGUGUAAAGCUCUUUCGGCUGGAACGAUGAUGACGGUACCAGCAGAAGAAGCUGCGGCUAACUACGUGCCAGCAGCCGCGGUAAUUC
rnacentral:rRNA from 1 species